GUUAAACAAGUGCCUGAAGGCAGUAUGCUUGUGAAAAGUCAUCACCAUUCUCCUAAUCUCAAGUACCCAGGGACAGUACACCGCCAAAGGUCGCAGGGACCUCUGCCUAGGAAAGCUAGGCUUGCAUUAAGGAAAUGAUUUCCUAUGAUUCUGCUUACUGCUUAAAAAAAUUAAUCAAGUUUUCUGCCUGACAAGAUCCAGUGUCUGCUGGAAGAGCCCCACCUUCUGCUACUAUUAUGUUCUUCAGAUGAGUAGAAGAGAGUGGGGAGGGAGAGAGCAGGAAGAGGAAAGGAAGAAUAAUGUCUUGAAAUUG